UUCGUCGUCCUAUCGAAAACACCUCGAGGGAACCACGCCACGCCAACGCCAUCGCACUCGCAUCCUGCCGCCGCCGCUCCCUGCGCUACCUCGACGGAAGCCAUCUCAAAUCCAUCCCUUCGCCGCCGCCCUCGCGCUCACAUCAAGGAUCGAGGCCUCCAGAGUAUCCUCGAUCCCCGCGUUACCCGUUCGCCGCCGCCGAUCCCGCCGCCGCGGGAGAGGAUGAGCUGAUCUCCAUGGCCAGAUGAGGGAGGAAUACGGGUGACGGGAUGGAUUUGGAUCUCAAGGUGGGGAGGCCAACGUAGCCGCCCCUAGCAGAGGAUUUGGAUCUGAUGGAUUUGGCUGCGUCGACCAGCAGAGGACAGCCGCCGGCUCGGCUCCUCCACCACGAAGCAACCUCCUUCCACCCCGUAACCGCCGUCCGAAACCCUAGCAAUCGAGCCCCACCCAUGGCACCCUAGGUGGUACAGCGGCCAGAGGAGAGGAGGUGGAGCAGCCAUCGCCUGGACAUGAGCAGCAUCUUGGGCAUGCAUCCAUUGAGGACGUGAGGAGAUUGGAGGAAAAAAUAUCAGAAAUCGGAGACAUGACGUUUUGGUUCAGUUCUGGAUCAUUUUCUUUUUUGGUUCAGUUUAUAAAAGUGGUUGUUGUUUUAUGUUGCUGCUAGCCAUCAGAAAACGAGUUCACAGUAGGUUUCCAUCCUUAUUUCUUUCGCAGAUUUAUUCACCUUAUUGGGACGGUGGGGUUAAUAUAUAUACAUCAAUUUUGAGCAUCGGCAACGCAUGAAGCUUGCUUCUGAGGCUGCAACAUACUUUACAAUCCCCCUGUGAAACAUACUUUUGUCACUAUGCACAUAUGGUUAUUUGAACGAAUUGAUGUCGAUUAGACUAUCUUUUUCCUAAUUACUUGUUAUAUGACAUUCUUUACUAUUCAGAGGUUGUUGAAGGGAGAUGGGGCUCUUCAGGCCCCUUUGGUGCAAAAGCACAAGCAGCAGCAUCUACAGCUGACCGCUCAUAGCCUAGGAUGUCCUGCAGAUUUGAUCUAUUUUGGAUAGAGCACAUGGAAUCAAACCACAGGUAAUCAAUUUGCUAUAUUCACGUGAUUAGCUAUAAGGAAUUUAUUACCUCUGUUUUAUUUGCAGGAUACCCAAGCAGUGCGUACAAAUUGUAGUGGUGCUUGUAGCUUAUCAUCAACCUGCCAUUAUUAUUUGUGUGUAUGUGUUCCAAACGACCACUCUAGGGAUUCUUGAUUUGCUCCUAGCUGCACCGUUGGGUUUCUCGCAGCUUUGUUUCGUUUGAGUUCUGUUGUUCAUACCAGUCUAAUUCGCCAACAUCAGAUUUCUAAUAAUGCUUUCAACCUGGACAGUCUGAUGUGAGCAAGUUUCUUGCCCUAUCCAUGCGUCAACCAGCAAUUUCUUGAUCCAGGUGCCCCAUGCCCUAUAGGGAAGCAGAAGAGCGUCAACAUCGGCGCCAGCCGCCCCAAUGUGGGAGGAAACAGGCGGAUGCACGCGAGUUGCUCGGCGCCUUCUUCUUCUUGAAUAAAUUCAUGGUGGUGAUGGACCUUUAUCUGCCCAAUGUUCUCAUGGAGUUUUCAUGCAACUAGCAGGUCGUCCAUGUUGUUCUUUAUGCAUUUAAAAAAAUACUAAUUAAAGGGAAAGGCAUGAAUGUGUAAGUUUUGCAGCAGUAGAUUCAGAGUGGGUUAAAAAAAAUUAUACAAUUCUUCAACCUCUUAAGAAUUAUGCAAUCAUCUCCUCGGAGUAGUGAGGAGGGCAUGCGUCAGAGGCCUGUCGACAGAGGAAGUGCAUGUUUGUAUUUCAUCAGGGGGAUAGUUGUGAGCAAUGCAUACAUCUAGGUUUCCUAUUUUUAUUUUAGAGACAAACAACUUAGUUGUGGGAUUGUCGUGUUAGUUUUUCAAAAUGAAAAUUCAGUGAUGAUCAUGUUUUAUCAGCACAGGUUCAGAGAUAACUUUAAUGAGUAAACAAAUAAUUUUCAUGCAGGUCAGUUCUGAUGUGUGUUGAAUAGCUCAAUUUUGUUUUGAUCUGCUACGUUUAGUCAUUGUUUGCUCUAGCAUCAACACUAACUGUCACACGCACGCCGCCCCAUGGACGCCCCUGACUGAGGUGCGGGUCGGUGCUUGCUGUCGGUCCAUCCGCAUCGGCGCAGUGGCAUGUACCCCUUGAAAGCUUUGAAGCCUGAAAAAGCCGCAGGACCAGAUCUUCCCAUCAACCUGAAGAUGUGAAGUACGCUGUGUCUCCCGGUAUUUCUGUUGCUUCCGCUGGAUGACGCUCUAUUGUCGUUGUUGCCUCAGCCCUCCCAAUUGUCAUGUUCUUCCCUUCUCUUGCUGCUCGAUGAAGUUGGUCAUGCUGCUAGCUUUGCAUUCUAUGGAGUCUCUAUCUCUACCUAUGAUAAAUUCAGUAUCGUUCUACACACGUGUUUGUACCAAUCCAAGCCCUGGCUGAUGAUAUAGUUUUGACUUGUAAUGAUCUGACUAUGUAUUACCUUUUAUGGGAUGUAUGUAUGCCAGUAUACAUGAUUAAGUUCUAGGCAAAAGAGGGUGUCAUAUUUUAUCUCGGUGUGGAACAUCAUCUUUUAGUUGAACCUAGAUGUUUAUUCAAUCUGAAUUUAGAUGUUUUAUUUAGCAUGUACUAGCUAGCUUGUGAUUUCCUAUGCUGCAAACUGUAACUAAUUUUCUUUAGCUGCUGGCUUUGAUACUAUAGAUGACUGGAGCACCUUGUGGUGACUUUGUUCUGCUCGCGAUGUAGUUCUAGAGCAGCUUCAGCGGCAAGAUGCCAUAGUUUCCUAAUUACUACGAUGAUUUGCUGGAUGAGGAGGUGGGUGAGAUGAUGCACAAGGAGGUUGUCGCCGGUCAGAGGAGGAGGGCGACAAGGCUGGAGAGCCGAGGCAGAGGCUUACGGGGAAGAGAAGAAACGACACCUUAUACAUAAAGGAUACCCGCUCCCAGGUGCCAGGAGGACAGCCGUGGCUGACGGAGAUUACAGGAUAAGAGUGUCGAGGAAGUUAACACAUGAAGUAAUCAUAUGAUUCUACCAUGACUUAGUGCUGCACAUAUGUUGAGGUAUGCUCGGAUCACUUCUAGAGAUCUGGAGAGGAAAGUUUGUUCCUUCCUUACAAGAGCCAUAUAAACAAUAAGGAAAAGCUCUUUCCUAGCAUAAGGUGAAUCUUGUAUAGUUUAAUUUGGGUAUAUUUUCUUAUAAAUGUGUAUUGUUGCAUACAUAAAUUGUCUCAGUUAGACGAACAAUUUUUUAUUUAGCGGUGACAUACUUGGGACACCAGGAAUAGGAUUGCGGCAGGGUUGGCCAAAGGACUGCACUACUUGCACUUUUUGUACAGCCCAGGAUACCAUAUUGCAACCUAAGGCCAUUGGUAAUUCAGUUAAAUAUAUAUAUUCUCAUUUUUCAGACUUCAGUCAUCAAUUUAGUUCAAUCUGUUAGCUUACUGAUUGCUGCAUAACUACCAUUUCUCAAAUUUACAAUGCGGUUUCUGUGUUGAUUUCAAAAUGGUGAGAUAUAGUUAGUUAUUCACAUUUUAGCAGGGACAAAUCUUGAUUCUUAAAUGCAGGCUAACUGUCAAUUAAUCUUUUAUGUAUAAUACCAACAUGUGUCGUGAUAAUAUAAGAAUGCAACAUUGUAGUGCCAUAUAAUCUAUCAUUUUUUUGGAACCAUAAGCAUGCAGCAUGUACUGCCAAAACUAUUUAUCAUAUGCUGUCAGAGAGAUCUAGCUCAAUAUGGGUUCAGAAGGAAAUUGUCAAAGAUGAAGUGGUACACAUCUACAAUUAUAGUAAAUUUUCUUUAGGGAUUCUAUUACCAAGAAGCACUUGAGUGGUUUGCUCCAUGGUAUAACUAACGAGCAUUUACUGGCUUCCUUCGUUAGUGUUUAUUUGGCAACGGGCAAAGCCAAGGCGUCGCCGGCGAUGCGCUAUCGUUCAGGCGCAUCAUCAAGGCCCGUCUUGACGUGAGCAUGAGGUUGCGUGCUGAAUAUCAUCUCUGUCGGCUGCACCUUGAUCGAUAGGAUGGAAGAUGAGAUGUGUGGACCACCGUUUAUUGGUUGCAGAGAAUUUUUUGUGGGGAGGUGAGACUAUGUAUGUGGGCUAGGAAAGUGCGUCGUCUGUUUCAGUAGCGGUUUCAGAAGCGGAAGAGCAAACAAUUUCGGGCUAGACGGCUGGCGUUGAGUCUUGACUGUUAGGCUUACGGAACUGCUGGAUGAGAGUAUAGUAGAGGCAAGCAUAGCCCAGCGAACAAAUAGGAAAAAUAAAAUAAUUGAUGAUGGAGUUUAUAGGUCAGACCCGAGGAGGUGGGCUUGAGUGGGACUGCAUGAGAUAUGACGUGGCUCGAUGUGAUUAGAUGCGGAGGUGUCUAUGCUGCAUGUUGAGAUAAAUCAAGGAGUGGGGGUGAACAAAUUAAGUAGCAACGCAUGGGUAUUACACCCAAUGUAGUGCCAUAAAUCUCAUCGUAUUGUAUAACCCUCAUCUCAUUGUAUUGUAUAUAUUCAUAUAUUGAUGCA